rnacentral:rRNA from 1 species
GAUGAACGCUGGCGGCGUGCCUAAUACAUGCAAGUAGAACGCUGAAGCUUGGUGCUUGCACCGAGCGGAAGAGUUGCGAACGGGUGAGUAACGCGUAGGUAACCUGCCUCUUAGCGGGGGAUAACUAUUGGAAACGAUAGCUAAUACCGCAUAAAAGUCGACAUUGCAUGAUGUUGACUUGAAAGGUGCAACUGCAUCACUAAGAGAUGGACCUGCGUUGUAUUAGCUAGUUGGUGAGGUAACGGCUCACCAAGGCGACGAUACAUAGCCGACCUGAGAGGGUGAUCGGCCACACUGGGACUGAGACACGGCCCAGACUCCUACGGGAGGCAGCAGUAGGGAAUCUUCGGCAAUGGGGGGAACCCUGACCGAGCAACGCCGCGUGAGUGAAGAAGGUUUUCGGAUCGUAAAGCUCUGUUGUUAAGGAAGAACGUGUGUGAGAGUGGAAAGUUCACACAGUGACGGUACUUAACCAGAAAGGGACGGCUAACUACGUGCCAGCAGCCGCGGUAAUACGUAGGUCCCGAGCGUUGCCCGGAUUUAUUGGGCGUAAAGCGAGCGCAGGCGGUUAGAUAAGUCUGAAGUGAAAGGCAGUGGCUCAACCAUUGUAGGCUUUGGAAACUGUUUAACUUGAGUGCAGAAGGGGAGAGUGGAAUUCCAUGUGUAGCGGUGAAAUGCGUAGAUAUAUGGAGGAACACCGGUGGCGAAAGCGGCUCUCUGGUCUGUAACUGACGCUGAGGCUCGAAAGCGUGGGGAGCGAACAGG